rnacentral:lncRNA from 1 species
CCUAUCGUCGAUCAGCAGUCACGACGGUGGGAUCGGUUCCUCCAUUCACCGUCGAAAAUAAGAGGUCAAAAAGAGAUAAAGACGAUCCCACGGCCGCGCUUUUCCCAUGGAGAUGGCACCUGUUUUAGUGAUGGAAGCCGAGGCCAAAAAGACGAGUUGACGAUGACGACACCGGCCAUGAUUUCCAGAAGCAACUCAGAGAAGAGAAGGUGAGAAUGGGAGGUAAAACUUUUUUGUAUUUGAUCCGGAAAUACAAUAAUGAGAAAGGUUCAAGUCCACUUAUAAAAAAUUACUAUCAUAAAAAUAAUAGGUCUAGUGACGUAUUUUUCCCAAGAGCCAAAAUUCGCAAAACCCCUCGAAUAAUGACGUGAGUUUUCUUAAGAGGAAAAAUGCGUGAAUCCACUAUCUUCAAACAAAUAAUUUUUAAUUAAUAUAAAAUUAUAACACACAAAUUUUUUUUNNNNNNNNNNNNNNNNNNNNNNNNAACAUAAAAUAACAAUAGUAACAUCGGGCUUCACGCUAUUAAAAUCACGUGAAAUUCUUGAAAUAUAAAACUCAUAAAAACUUUCAAAAAUUACCUAACAAACCGCAACACGAUAAGUACAAUAUGGUCCUCUAAUAUUUUAAUAACGGUGAAUUCUUCAGUAUACCUGGUAUACCGAAACUUUCGGUGUGCCCAGUUUUUUUUGGUAACGUAAAUCCAUUACCAAUAUCCAUUUUCAGUUUGCGAUCUCGACGGUUCAUAAUUAUUCGAAUAUUAAAUUUUUAUUUCACAUUUUUUUUUUAUUUCAAUUUGCGAUUUGAAAUUGGAUUGUAAUUGAUCCAAAAUUUCAUGUGAUUUCAAAUAAAAAAUUUCAUGUGGUUUAAUUGAAAUUGUUGCUGUUGUUUUUUCUGUCAUUUUGGGGUGCCAUACAUGGUGUUUUGUUUGGUUUGGUUGCGGAAUGUCCUCUCUUUCACAUUUUUUUUUAUUUCAGUUUGCGAUUUGAAAUUGGAUUGUAAUUGAUCCAAAAUUUCAUGUGAUUUCAAAUAAAAAAUUUCAUGUGGUUUAAUUGAAAUUGUUGCUGUUGUUUUUUCUGUCAUUUUGGGGUGCCAUACAUGGGGUUUUGUUUGGUUUGGUUGCGGAAUGUCGGGGUGCCAUACAUGGUGUUUUGUUUGGUUUGGUUGCAGAAUGUCCCAAGUCUUGUUCUGAAGCACCAGGAUUUUGUUAUCUUGCUGCAUUUUUUCGGAGUUGUG